GAUGAACGCUGGCGGCGUGCUUAACACAUGCAAGUCGAACGGAAAGGCUCCUGCUUGCAGGGGUACUCGAGUGGCGAACGGGUGAGUAACACGUGGGUGAUCUGCCCUGCACUUCGGGAUAAGCCUGGGAAACUGGGUCUAAUACCGGAUAGGACGAUGGUUUGGAUGCCAUUGUGGAAAGUUUUUCGGUGUGGGAUGAGCUCGCGGCCUAUCAGCUUGUUGGUGGGGUAAUGGCCUACCAAGGCGUCGACGGGUAGCCGGCCUGAGAGGGUGUACGGCCACAUUGGGACUGAGAGACGGCCCAGACUCCUACGGGAGGCAGCAGUGGGGAAUAUUGCACAAUGGGCGGAAGCCUGAUGCAGCGACGCCGCGUGGGGGAUGACGGCCUUCGGGUUGUAAACUCAUUUCGCUAGGGACGAAGCGCAAGUGACGGUACCUGGAGAAGAAGCACCGGCUAACUACGUG
rnacentral:rRNA from 1 species